GCGGUGGAGCAUUGUGGUUUAAUUCGAAGCAACGCGCAGAACCUUACCAGCCCUUGACAUGGGGAGUGUGGGCCCGGGAGAUCGGGUCCUUCAGUUCGGCUGGCUCCCACACAGGUGCUGCAUGGCUGUCGUCAGCUCGUGUCGUGAGAUGUUGGGUUAAGUCCCGCAACGAGCGCAACCCUCGUCUUCAGUUGCCAUCAGGUAGGGCUGGGCACUCUGAAGAAACUGCCGGUGACAAGCCGGAGGAAGGUGGGGAUGACGUCAAGUCCUCAUGGCCCUUACGGGCUGGGCUACACACGUGCUACAAUGGCGGUGACAGUGGGGCGCGAUCCCGCGAGGGUGAGCGAAUCUCAAAAAGCCGUCUCAGUUCGGAUUGUUCUCUGCAACUCGAGAGCAUGAAGUUGGAAUCGCUAGUAAUCGCAGAUCAGCUCGCUGCGGUGAAUACGUUCCCGGGCCUU
rnacentral:rRNA from 1 species